UCUUCUCUUUCUUCCUCUGCUUUUUGAGGUAGUAGUUAGAGGCUUGUGUAGCAACAAGCUUCACAGACUAAAGCUGGAUCCUCCUCGAGUUGCUUAAAGCAGACUGGAAACCUAGAUUUGCAAGUAGUGAAGGAAGAUCUCCUCAAGCAGAUGUGAAUUCUGGGAUUUUACCACGGAAGAGAAGGUUCUGAGUGAUGGGGCAUGAUUUGCCCUGGUUGCUGCUGUUCUGAGAGAUCAGGUUCAGGAUUACACUAUUUGGAGGAGAUGGCUUCUGAACACUUUCUCAUACAAGAAAGGAAGAAGUCAAGGCCUGCUGCAAGAAAGAGAUUUAAUAAGUGUUCAUGAAGAAAUGCUGUUUCAUUCCCUGUGGGGGAAAAACAUAACCAAGGAGUUUACCUUCCUAAAUAAAGAAAACAAGGUUAAAAGCCAUCAGAAUAGCGUAAGGAGGACUCCUGAUCUGAGAACGAUGCCUGUAAAUGUUUGUGAUAUUUUUAUCCUGCUUUAUUUCUACAGACACACAAAUCU